rnacentral:rRNA from 1 species
CCCCAUGGAGCUUUAAACCCGACAGCACCCACUUAUUUAACACCUUCUUAUCCGCCUGGCCCCUGUCUGCUCGGUUUUGGGUUGGGGUGACCGCGGAGCAUAAAAUAGCCUCCACGAAAGAAGGGAUGAUUCCCUCAUUUUAGAACUACACUUCCAAAGACUAACAAAUUAAUUUUAAGUGAUCCGAUACCCGUAUUCGAUCAACGAACCAAGUUACCCUGGGGAUAACAGCGCAAUCUACCUCAAGAGCCCCUAUCGACAGGUGGGUUUACGACCUCGAUGUUGGAUCAGGGUAUCCCAGUGGUGCAGCAGCUACCAAAGGUUCGUUUGUUCAACGAUUAAAACCCU